AAUUUCCAAUGUUGAUUUUGCUAGUGGACGAACCUGGUAGAUCUAUAUAUAUUCACUAACUACUCAACAUCCAAAAUAAGAAACUUCUUUAAGAAUAAUUGAAUAGAGUUAUGUUGGUUUAACGUAUUUAUUGAAGGCAUAUAUUCAGGAUCCUACCACAUUGCUGUGAUCCCAAUGAUACGGCUUCACAACAACCUGAAAAGAUGGAUACUUUGCCUUGUUGGCAGCUUCAAGAGCUUGAGAAGAGGUCCUUGAACAUGAAUGUGGCCUUCUGACUUUCCCAUUAUCAUUCUUUUUGCACCUCGAUUGCGUGAACUUCCAAGAUCGACGUAGGAAUGUUGACUUUUCCCCCAUUUUCUUGCAUUGUGAC
rnacentral:misc_RNA from 1 species